rnacentral:rRNA from 1 species
UACGUAGGGUGCGAGCGUUAAUCGGAAUUACUGGGCGUAAAGCGUGUGUAGGCGGCCUCGCAAGUCGGAUGUGAAAGCCCUGGGCUCAACCCAGGAAGUGCACUCGAUACUGCUUGGCUUGAGUCUCGGAGAGGUUGGUGGAAUUCUCGGUGUAGAGGUGAAAUUCGUAGAUAUCGAGAGGAACACCGGUGGCGAAGGCGGCCAACUGGACGAAGACUGACGCUGAGACACGAAAGCGUGGGGAGCAAACAGG